UUUCAUUCAAUUUCGCAUUUUGAAAUGAAUUCUCAAAUCUGCUGGCGCUUUCGGUAUUCUGGGCCUACUCAAAUUGCAGCCAGGAGUAGGAAGGCAGGGGCUGUCCAGUGAGUUUAGUGGAUGCCAAGAGCAAGUUUGUCGAUAGGAACUGAGGACUCUCUUCUCGAGUAAAACCCCUUGGGUAUUAGUGGCAGACACUCUGGUGAGCAUCAGAUUCCCUCGGGGUUUCUCGGGGAGUAGGGUUUGGAUCCCCCCCAUGGAGUUGGUACGGCCUCUUCGCCGCCGCUCCCCCCGACCCCAGCAAAGCGCUGUCCUACGCUGGGCGGCCUGGGAGUCCGCGGCACGCGUUGGAGUCCGGCGAAGACUCUUGCGCUGGCCAGUGCAGGAAGCAGUGAACCGUGGCGGCGAGGAGACUGCUGAGGAGUGUGCAGAGCCCUCGCGGCACAGCUGGCCGCCGCGCCGCCUCCGUGCAGCCGUUGGAGGAGCGGCCUAGUCGAAGCCCGAGAUGAGGGCUGAGCUGGCGGAGGAGGCAGCCUCGGACCCCGCCGCGUGGCUCCCGCUGCUGCCUACAGAGGAGCCAGUGACUCAGGCCGAGGCCAAGCCCCCAGGGGAGCAGGCCUGUGAACAGUACGCCAAGGGGACGCCCUGGCCGAGGGCAGCGCGACUGAGAUCGCCGAGGUCGCUGAGCCCUACUUCGGCGACCCCGAGGACUUCUUGGAUGGCGUGAGCGCGGAAGAAUUGCUUGGCGCAGACAAUGUUCUUCAGGUGGGACCUGACAGACUUGAACAUCUUUAAAAUGUCACUCACAGAUCUUUUACAAAUUUGGUAAAAUCAUAAUUAUUUUCCUGAAGAGAAUGGAAAAACAAAAGGAGAUCGAACUCAGGACCUUGCGCCUGUGAGUGCUACUGAGCUAAAUCCCUGGGCCUAACAGAAUAUUCUUGAAACACACCUGGUGAGCAUGCGCACAGAAGCAGAAGAGCAGAGUUAACAGAACAUUCUUGAAGUGUCUGGUAAUAACACGGUACAGCUCAAACAGUUACAGAACAUUUUGAUACAUUGGGCAGGGACAGGUGCAGCACAAAUGGUUACAUUUCUGGAACAACAUUUUAUGGAAAAAAACAUGGGGAGGGGCAGAGGCAAAGGCUUACCCUGUUGUGUAUUAAUUGCUUUAUCAUUUCCCCACUUUGAUCCCCCUUUCUAGGCUUAGGGCAUCAUUAGUAGCUACAGGGUUACAGUUCAAGUGAGCUCACACCAGUAGUUGAUGUACUGACUGUCUUGUGAGAGCCUGAACCUGGUCUUGUAGGAGCUCUGUGAGGCACCUGAACAGACAUGGGCCAAUUGUCAGCAACAGGAAGAUGAGAACCAAUGUUCUGAGCAGAGGGGCCAACCAUGUCGUCCAGUUAUCCCAAGAGAAACUCCAAAAUCCGCUGGUUUGGUAUUGUUCCUGGAGUUUGGCGGCUCUGUCUCAGAGACUUUUUACAGCUUGAUGAGUGACCCCUGAUCUGUUAACAUAGAAACAAUGCUCUACCCUGAGAAAGAUACAGGCACUCCCUUUUUCUACUGUUAGUAAGUCCAAGCCUUGGUGGGUUUGAAGAAUGACUGCAGCUAAAGAGUCUGUAUCUCUUUUUGUAUGUCUGUUAUAGAAUUAGAGAUUUCUUUUAAGCUGUUGGUUAACUCCUGAGAGAUUAACUGGUAGGUGAGGGCUGCAGUGGUUAUGCCUGUGACUCUGGCUCCAAUCCCUAAAGUUAUUCGUAAGCCUACUAUUGGGUAUCAGGAAGGGAGCUCAGUGUUGUUGAGUGUGAGCCUGGACUGAGAUUGGAAAGUCAGUGUCCCCAGGGGCAAUGUCUUAUCUUGGGGCUAAGUUAGGAAGAGUGCAGGUUCUGUCCAGUUAGCAGGGAGGCAGAGGUAGACAGAAGUCCUGCAGAGCCACAAAAUGCCAGAACAGUACAAACAAAUGGUUGUAGACACUAUAGUGAUGUACAAUAGCUCCUUUAUCUCCUUCCCAUGCAUUCAGUGUAAAGGCUAGAGCUGCUUCCUCAAGAAGGGAGUGCUUGUCCUGUGUGAGUCUAUUGGAUAGCACCUUGAGUUUUGUUUCCCAGUGUAAGAGGAACCUGUUUGUAUCAAUUAGUAACCACUCUUGUGAGCCCUUGAGAUUGGGGAAGAGUAGGCAGUUGGAAGGGGUUCAGGCUGCUGUGGUUCCCCCAGAAGAAGUCACCUAGGUAAGGGAGUUUGAGUCCCUCACAAAAGUGUCCCUUGCUUCACAUUGAUCAGCUGGGAAGUAUCUAGUCUGAGCUGGCCAGUGAGGUAGUAUUGUUUGUUUGUUUUUUGAGGUCUUUUUUUUGGUACCCGAGAUUGAACUCAGGACCUUGUGCUUGUGAGGCAGAUAGUGGAACCACUGAGCUAAAUCCCUGGCCUGAGGCAGUAUUGUUGAGUGCCUGAGUUGACCCCAUAGUAAGAUGUUUGUGGGGUAUGUAUAAGAUUAAGGUGAAGUUACAGUCAGAGCAAUAGAUGUCCCAAUGUCUUGGGAGGAUUUGAGCCCUCUGGAGGAGAGGGCUGCUUUAUACAGAGGAAGGCCUGGAAGGCGAGCUUAACAUCAGUAGAGAUGGGACCAAAUAUAAGUCUGUGUGUUGUGGCCUGACUUUUUCUGUGGAAGUCCUCUUUAAGUGAAGGAGCAACCUUAGUGGAAGGAGGGUUUUUAAGAUCUACAGUAGGAUGAUAGGCUGAUGUGGACAAUGCCCAAACCUCGGGUGAGACGGAUGGCCUCUAAAGGCUGAGGAAAUAGGCAUAACCAGCAGUCUUCUGUGAGACUGGGGCAAGACUUGUUUAGUAAGGCAUGGACCAGCUCUAGGUGUUAGAGAAGUAAGGGGAUAGUGUGUCUGGCUGUCAUGACCCAAGACUGUCACCAUGGAGACCAACAGCAACAUCAGAUUUUUGGUGCUGGCCAUUAUCAAUUUAGGU